rnacentral:rRNA from 1 species
AGAACGAACGCUGGCGGCAUGCCUAAUACAUGCAAGUCGAACGAACACUUCGGUGUUAGUGGCGCACGGGUGCGUAACGCGUGGGAAUCUGCCCUUGGGUUCGGAAUAACAGUUGGAAACGACUGCUAAUACCGGAUGAUAUCGAAAGAUCAAAGAUUUAUCGCCCAGGGAUGAGCCCGCGUAGGAUUAGCUAGUUGGUGAGGUAAAGGCUCACCAAGGCGACGAUCCUUAGCUGGUCUGAGAGGAUGAUCAGCCACACUGGGACUGAGACACGGCCCAGACUCCUACGGGAGGCAGCAGUAGGGAAUAUUGGACAAUGGGCGCAAGCCUGAUCCAGCAAUGCGCGUGAGUGAUGAAGGCCUUAGGGUUGUAAAGCUCUUUUACCCGAGAUGAUAAUGACAGUAUCGGAGAAUAAGCCCCGGCUAACCUCCGCGCCAGCAGCCGC